rnacentral:rRNA from 1 species
CUAAGAAUAUUCCGCAAUGGAGGAAACUCUGACGGAGCGACGCCGCGUGGAUGAUGAAGGUCGGAAGAUUGUAAAAAUCCUUUUAAGUAUGAUGAAUAACCUGAUCAGGAAAUGGAACAGGGAUGACCGUAAUACUUGAAUAAGCAACGGCUAAUUACGUGCCAGCAGCCGCGGUAACACGUAAGGUGCGAGCGUUGUUCGGAAUCAUUGGGCGUAAAGGGCAUGUAGGCGGUCUGUCAAGCCAGGCGUGAAAGCCAGGGGCUCAACCCCUGAACUGCGCUUGGAACUGGCGGACUGGAGU